UUAAUUGAAGAGUUUGAUCAUGGCUCAGAUUGAACGCUGGCGGCAGGCCUAACACAUGCAAGUCGAACGGUAACAGGG
rnacentral:rRNA from 1 species